rfam:Mycobacterium abscessus subsp. abscessus strain 57 genome assembly, contig: ERS244815SCcontig000002
CCCCACAAACACGGGAGCACGCACCAGCGUGCUGAGAGGACGGCUAGGGCCGUCGACCGUAUGAACCUGACCGGGUAAUGCCGGCGUAGGGAGGAGAAUUAAGCAU